GACGAACGCUGGCGGCGUGCUUAACACAUGCAAGUCGAACGGUGAAGGGACCGGUUUUUGCUGGUUCUGGAUGAGUGGCGAACGGGUGAGUAACACGUGAGUAACCUGCCCCCUUCUUCUGGAUAACCGCAUGAAAGUGUGGCUAAUACGGGAUAUUCUGCGCCUACUGCAUGGUGGGUGUGGGAAAGAUAUUGUUUCGGUGGGGGAUGGGCUCGCGGCCUAUCAGCUUGUUGGUGGGGUGAUGGCCUACCAAGGCGGUGACGGGUAGCCGGCCUGAGAGGGUGGACGGUCACACUGGGACUGAGACACGGCCCAGACUCCUACGGGAGGCAGCAGUGGGGAAUAUUGCACAAUGGGCGCAAGCCUGAUGCAGCGACGCCGCGUGAGGGAUGGAGGCCUUCGGGUUGUAAACCUCUUUCGCCAGUGAAGCAGGCCUGUCCCUUUUGUGGGUGGGUUGACGGUAGCUGGAUAAGAAGCGCCGGCUAACUACGUG
rnacentral:rRNA from 1 species